UACGUAGGGUGCAAGCGUUAAUCGGAACUACUGGGCGUAAAGCGUGCGCAGGCGGUUUUGUAAGUCAGAUGUGAAAUCCCCGGGCUUAACCUGGGAACUGCGUUUGAAACUACAAGGCUAGAGUGUGGCAGAGGGGGGUGGAAUUCCACGUGUAGCAGUGAAAUGCGUAGAGAUGUGGAGGAACACCGAUGGCGAAGGCAGCCCCCUGGGUUAACACUGACGCUCAGGCACGAAAGCGUGGGGAGCAAACAGG
rnacentral:rRNA from 1 species